GGUUGCGGCCACACCAGGAAGAAAACACUGUUUCCCGUCCGAUCAACGUUAGUUAAGCUUUCUAGGGCCGUACUGAGUAGUGUAGUGGGAGACCAUAUGCGAAAUUACGGUGCUGCAAUCUUUU
rnacentral:rRNA from 1 species